AGUGGCGGACGGGUGAGUAACGCGUGGGCAACCCUGCCCUGUACCGGGGGAGUAACAGCCGGAAACGGCUGCUAAUACCGCAUAAGCGCACGAGAGCGCAUGCUUUUGUGUGAAAAACUCCGGUGGUACGGGAUGGGCCCGCGUCUGAUUAGCUUGUUGGCGGGGUAGAAGCCCACCAAGGCGACGAUCAGUAGCCGACCUGAGAGGGUGACCGGCCACAUUGGGACUGAGACACGGCCCAAACUCCUACGGGAGGCAGCAG
rnacentral:rRNA from 1 species